AUCUCUAUCUGGAGGUCAUCCCUCUUGGAACACUUCAGUGAGCCCAUGACACAGAUGCUUUCCUUAAGUGGGAGAAAUGCCAAAUGCCUGAAGUUUGACAGCUGGUCGGAGUGGGUGUGCAGCCCCUGAACAAGACUCUACCACUACAGAAGGAGAUGGUUUCCAGAAAUUGCUUCCACAACAGCAGUGGCUGUUUCCAAAGGGAAAGAAGUGCCAGCUUAUGACUUACCUUUUGGGAGAAGCCACCCUUUGUCCACUGCCAACUGAAUGACAGUACAUCUCAAGACUUUGCAGGACAGUAGGUAGCUGGGAGCUCAGCCAAAGCACUGUCUUAAUCAAGCUAUGAAGUAGCGAAAAUGUGUGCUUUUGCAACAGAGAAAUUAUCAACCAAUGAUCAGUGAUGAAUCUUUCCUUCUAGAUGGAUAAUAUAGAGGUCUCAUAAGACUGUCCGCUGACUCCUGACGUGAUAGUAUUUAUUCUGCCAUACAGUUAAGGCAUCAGCUCAAGAACUUGGCCUAUUUCAAAAGCUGUAAUGUUCUGUUCUACCUGUUUGCUCAGAAGAGAGGCUAUAACGGUCUCAUUAAAGGAUCUAAUGUGAGACGAUGUUGUUCAGCUCCCCUAGCUUGUGGGACUAUUGCUCAAGGCCACUAGAGUUGUUCUUAAGCUGUUUUUUUUUAUUAUUAUUUAGAUCAAAGCAAAUCUAUUUCUACUAUGCUGGUAUUUCUCACAGUAAGUCUCGGAACACAACUGCCAGAAUGGCUCCCUGCCUUGUGCUGCUUAGGCUGCACUGUGCCUGCUGUCAGGCUUCAGCUUCCACACGUUGCACUGCAUGUUGUUUUCCAGUGAUACUUUGCUGGCAUUGACCUGGCUUCCCCCCCCCCCCCCCCCCCCCCCCCCCCCCUUUUUUUUUUGUCAUCCUCUUUCAUCAUCUUCUUUCAAGGACAUCUGACCUUUCACUUGGCUCAGCCACUCUGGUUUUACAUAUUAAUUGCCCCGCUUGGAAGCAUCAAACCGAACCUGGCACACUGUCUGCCUUUAAAGAGGAAGGUGUGAUAUUUUUACGGGUUUCUUCUAAGUUUAUUUUUGCUUCUGUCUGUCAAGUAUGAUUUAUUGACUGGUCAAGGGGCUAUUUUAAGCACACAGAAUACAAAUAAUAAAUGUUUGUACUAGAGG
ensembl:lncRNA